UGGACUCUGGUUUAUUUAAGUUGGACCAUCCAAGUUCCGAGUCUGAGUAAUCACUUAUUUCUCAAAACUCAAUUCAUUAUCCUGCUCAUCCGUUUAAUAUUUUUCUUAAUCACUAGUUACUUUUUAAUCAAUUCGGAAAACCUGAAAAUCAUCCACUACAUUCUUCUGACACUCUUCUUCUUCUUUUUUUUUUUUUUUUUUUCCUGUUUGCUUCAGAAACCGUUCUCAUUUGUUUUUAAACAAAUUAAUGUUUGAGUGGCUAGGGUGGCUCAUGGUGGUUGGGGGGUAGUGGCGGCUACUUGAGAGAACAAGAGGGCGUAGAGGCUGCUCGUUUUGCUAGUUCGGAUUGGUGGAGGGUGUUCAUCAAGAUGUCGGAAAAUUGGAUGAAAUUUCAGGAAAUUCCUGUCUCUGUCUCCGUCGGGGAAUGAUAUCCCAAACCUGACCUGAAUCCCCAAUUUUUUAAAUAAUAAAAAAUAUCCAUAUUAUAACAUUCAAGUUAAUUUAACAAAAUUAAUAAAAUUAUAUAAUAAAAAAUAUGAUAAACUGCCGAAUAGCCCCUUGAACUAUCACGCUAAUUGAAAUCUGCACUAUGAAUUAAUUUUUCAGCCAAUUUAGCCUCUGUACUGAGUUUUAUCUCCAAUUUAACCCCCACUGUUAAUUUUCAACAAUUUUCAUCCAAAUCUCUGUUAAAAAGACCACGUAAAUGACACAUGCCAACAUGCAACCCAUAUUACCCAGCUCCCCUUUGCAAACCCUCUCUCUUCCUCCUAGGCCUCUUCUUCUCUCUUUCUGCGGCCCGUUUCAACAUGUUAGGUUUAGGUUAUUUUAAUUAAAAUAUGUUAAUGCUUUAGUUGUGAUAAUGUAAGGCAUGUUCUAUUUAAGUUUUCUUCUAGUGAUUUAUUUAUUUAAUUAAAAAUAACCUAUUUUAGUGUUAACUUAGUUUAGUGAUUUAUUUAUUUAAUUAAAAAUGUAUAUUUUAUAGUUUUAUAAUGAGUGAAAUUGGUGCUUAAAGGGUGAAAUGGGUAUAUAUUCUACACAGUUUGAAACGAAUUAAUAGUGUUAAUAGGUGAA
rnacentral:lncRNA from 1 species